CCUACGGGAGGCUGCAGUUGGGAAUCUUGCACAAUGGGGGAAACCCUGAUGCAGCGACGCCGCGUGGAGGAAGAAGGGUCUAGGCUCGUAAACUCCUUUUUCAGGGAAAGACUUAGGACGGUACCCUGAGAAUAAGCUCCGGCUAACUACGUGCCAGCAGCCGCGGUACGACGUAGGGAGCGAGCGUUGUCCGGAUUUACUGGGCGUAAAGAGCACGUAGGCGGUCUGUUAAGUGAGAAGUGAAAUCUCCAGCGCUCAACGGGGAGACGGCUUUUCAUACUGGCAGACUAGAGGGAGGCAGAGGCAAGUAGAAUUCCUGGUGUAGCGGUGAAAUGGGUUGAUAUCAGGAGGAAUACCGAUGGCGAAGGCAGCUUGCUGGGCAUCAUCUGACGCUGAGGUGCGAAAGCGUGGGUAGCAAACAGGAUUAGAUACCCCGGUAGUC
rnacentral:rRNA from 1 species